CGCAUGGUCUCAGUAGCAGUCGCAGGUUCGCAUGGAGUUACUGGUUCACAUGGUAUCAACGGCGGAGUUACUGGUUCACAUGGUCUCAUUUCUGUGCUGAAUUGAUGCGCCAUGCUCCAUCGUCCGUCAAAAAUAGAAGCUCUGUGCAAGUUUUGCCAGGGCUGAUGGAUGGCGGUGCGACGACGGACUCACUACGCAGUGGAUCUGGAGUCGGUGGAACCUCACACAGUGAUUAUAAUUAAUGCGUAUUGGCUCCGCCGACAGAUCUGCAGCCAUUAUGCAUGCAGUGGAAUUUAGGGGUAACAGGAUACAUAAUUUGUUGGUGAGUGACUUGGACACCCUCUCUUCUGUAAAGUUCAACCGAAUGGGUGUAAUACUCCAUAAAUACAACAGAGUACACAUUACCUCUGGAAGUCUAUGAGAAAGAGCCCAUGAAAUCCAGGGUCUUUAUGAAGCUGCAAUUUCCCUGCUUUUCUUAAUUUGUAUUAUUAGCAGAGCUGAGCCCAAUCAACACCUAUAUAGCAAAGCACUGUUUUAUAGGUCUUGUAUUUUUUGAAGAUAUCCUGAUAUUGAAUUCUCAUUAAACAUUCCAGGAAGGAGUUCUCAGAGACAUCCUGGUAUGUAGACUUGCUAGAUGGUUUCAUCUGAAGGAGUUCCAAGAUGGCACAGUGGAUGGCAGCUUCAAAACAUGGAUCACCUCGUUCCACGACGCUGGACUGCACUAUGAGAGGGCACGAAUAUCAAGCCUUUGUGGGAUCACUAUGAACGCCCUAAGGCGAAAAGCUGGGACAGAUCUUUCCGGCAAUAUAGCGGGACAUUUGCAGGACGGCACUAUGAAAGAGGCUUCUUUGCCUUCUGUGAUAUCUGACUUCCAGCACCGACAAAGUGACCGAUAUCUCUUUGAAUGGACUGACCCCAUAGUACAUCAAGGACCUCAUCCAAAUCUAUACUCCAUCGCUCAAAUUGAGGUCCGAGGGCCAGCUCCAGCCCGUGGUGCCUAGAGCGAAAUUUAAAACCAGGGGGGACAGGGCUUUCUCUGUGGUGGUCCCCAGACUUUGGAAUGCCCUCCCCCUCCAUGUCCCAACAGCCCCCACGGUGGAGUGCUUUAAGUCUCGUCUUAAGACCCAUUUUUAUUCCCUGGCUUUUUAACUUUGCGUGAGUUUUGUGGUCCUCUGUGUCUUUUAUUUCUUUGACUACUUCAAACUAUGUCUUUUAUUUAUUUUACUAUCUGUUUGAUUUUAUUGUUUUAUUUA